CCUACGGGCGGCAGCAGUGAGGAAUAUUGGUCAAUGGACGAGAGUCUGAACCAGCCAAGUAGCGUGAAGGAUGACUGCCCUAUGGGUUGUAAACUUCUUUUAUAUGGGAAUAAAAUGUUCCACGUGUGGGAUUUUGUAUGUACCAUAUGAAUAAGGAUCGGCUAACUCCGUGCCAGCAGCCGCGGUAAUACGGAGGAUCCGAGCGUUAGCCGGAUUUAUUGGGUUUAAAGGGAGCGUAGGUGGAUUGUUAAGUCAGUUGUGAAAGUUUGCGGCUCAACCGUAAAAUUGCAGUUGAAACUGGCAGUCUUGAGUACAGUAGAGGUGGGCGGAAUUCGUGGUGUAGCGGUGAAAUGCUUAGAUAUCACGAAGAACUCCGAUUGCGAAGGCAGUUCACUGGACUGCAACUGACACUGAGGCUCGAAAGUGUGGGUAUCAAACAGGAUUAGAUACCCUUGUAGUC
rnacentral:rRNA from 1 species